rnacentral:rRNA from 1 species
UACGGAGGAUCCGAGCGUUAUCCGGAUUUAUUGGGUUUAAAGGGUGCGCAGGCGGGGGAUUAAGUCGGCGGUGAAAUUUUGCAGCUCAACUGUAAAAGUGCCUUCGAAACUGGUUUCCUUGAGUGUAGAUGAAGUAGGCGGAAUUUGUGGUGUAGCGGUGAAAUGCUUAGAUAUCACGAGGAACUCCGAUUGCGCAGGCAGCUUACUAAACCACUACUGACGCUCAGGCACGAAGGCGUGGGGAUCAAACAGGAUUAGAUACCCUGGUAGUCCCU